rnacentral:tRNA from 1 species
GGGGCUGUAGUCCAACUUGGUUAAGACGCCACGUUCGGGACGUGGUAGUCCCGGUUCAAAUCCGGGCAGCCCCA